UGGUUCAAUUGUCUAUUUUGUUUCGAUUCACCCUUUUUACUAGCAAGCGUCCAAAAACUUAUUACUCCAGUUAAUUAAAGUGCUUCAAUAAAAACUUGGUAAUCGCGUAUUAUUGUUACAAACUCUUCUUGGUUAUCGAGUAUGUAUGUUUCAAGCUGUUAUUUAUACUUAAAGUCAAUACAGCUGGUGUUGCUGUUUUCUUGUUAUACAAAUCUUGGGAAAAAGUUAUUAAAGAACGUAGCAAGAUAUGGCAGAUGUAAAUUUAUUGGCAUCAUAGUUUAUUAUUACACAUAUAUCUAAUAGUAGUGUAUGACUGUUGGUUCAAGUGGACGGUAACUUGUUACAGCAUGUGUACGUGAACGUCAAAUUAAAAUCUACCUCAUAUAUCAAGUAUAAAGAAUUUUAAAUGAAAUAGUUGCGGAGACAUAUUUUUUUGUUUCUUCAUUUGUAUGAUAAUGUAUGUAUGCGAACUUAAAACAUAUUGUACGAAAGAGGCGGAGUCAGGCAGUAUAAAAGCAUGAUCAUUUAUUACAGUGAAACGUAGUACGCGGAAAUAUAAAUUCUUGAGUGUAAAUAAGAUUAAAGAAUUUUUGUUGAUAAUUAGUAUCGAUAUGAAAUUCAUACUUUACGUGGUGUUUUUCUUUAUCCUUGCGUCGGCAGUGUUUACCGUGGAGGGUAAAAGGAAGCGAAACUGUGUCGCAGAUUUUUCGUGCGGCUUCCGAUUUACUCUUAGUCCAAUACUGCCAUCAGCUGGUCGACCUUGGUUGGACGAACUGCCUCGAGCAAUUAAAAGAAAACUUUAGUCUCCUGGUUUAUCAGAUCGCUCAUUCGGAAAAACAUUAUUACUGUAGUUUUGGUUCUUGAAAAAUUUUAUGAUUCGAGUUCUCAACAAUAUAUUUUUUAACUUCAUUCUCCUUAAUUAAUGUUAUGAAUCAAUCGAAUUUCAAUAA